CAAAAUGUGGCUAAAAUAGAAAAGCACCUCUCUUACACUGAGGAGUUGUCCGUGCAAGUCGAACCAUUUUGA
rnacentral:tRNA from 1 species